GAAGGUGUGCUGUGAGGCAUGCUGGAGGUAUCAGAAGUGCGAAUGCUGACAUAAGUAACGAUAAAGCGGGUGAAAAGCCCGCUCGCCGGAAGACCAAGGGUUCCUGUCCAACGUUAAUCGGGGCAGGGUGAGUCGACCCCUAAGGCGAGGCCGAAAGGCGUAGUCGAUGGGAAACAGGUUAAUAUUCCUGUACUUGGUGUUACUGCGAAGGGGGGACGGAGAAGGCUAUGUUGGCCGGGCGACGGUUGUCCCGGUUUAAGCGUGUAGGCUGGUUUUCCAGGCAAAUCCGGAAAAUCAAGGCUGAGGCGUGAUGACGAGGCACUACGGUGCUGAAGCAACAAAUGCCCUGCUUCCAGGAAAAGCCUCUAAGCAUCAGGUAACAUCAAAUCGUACCCCAAACCGACACAGGUGGUCAGGUAGAGAAUACCAAGGCGCUUGAGAGAACUCGGGUGAAGGAACUAGGCAAAAUGGUGCCGUAACUUCGGGAGAAGGCACGCUGAUAUGUAGGUGAAGUCCCUCGCGGAUGGAGCUGAAAUCAGUCGAAGAUACCAGCUGGCUGCAACUGUUUAUUAAAAACACAGCACUGUGCAAACACGAAAGUGGACGUAUACGGUGUGACGCCUGCCCGGUGCCGGAAGGUUAAUUGAUGGGGUUAGCGCAAGCGAAGCUCUUGAUCGAAGCCCCGGUAAACGGCGGCCGUAACUAUAACGGUCCUAAGGUAGCGAAAUUCCUUGUCGGGUAAGUUCCGACCUGCACGAAUGGCGUAAUGAUGGCCAGGCUGUCUCCACCCGAGACUCAGUGAAAUUGAACUCGCUGUGAAGAUGCAGUGUACCCGCGGCAAGACGGAAAGACCCCGUGAACCUUUACUAUAGCUUGACACUGAACAUUGAGCCUUGAUGUGUAGGAUAGGUGGGAGGCUUUGAAGUGUGGACGCCAGUCUGCAUGGAGCCGACCUUGAAAUACCACCCUUUAAUGUUUGAUGUUCUAACGUUGACCCGUAAUCCGGGUUGCGGACAGUGUCUGGUGGGUAGUUUGACUGGGGCGGUCUCCUCCUAAAGAGUAACGGAGGAGCACGAAGGUUGGCUAAUCCUGGUCGGACAUCAGGAGGUUAGUGCAAUGGCAUAAGCCAGCUUGACUGCGAGCGUGACGGCGCGAGCAGGUGCGAAAGCAGGUCAUAGUGAUCCGGUGGUUCUGAAUGGAAGGGCCAUCGCUCAACGGAUAAAAGGUACUCCGGGGAUAACAGGCUGAUACCGCCCAAGAGUUCAUAUCGACGGCGGUGUUUGGCACCUCGAUGUCGGCUCAUCACAUCCUGGGGCUGAAGUAGGUCCCAAGGGUAUGGCUGUUCGCCAUUUAAAGUGGUACGCGAGCUGGGUUUAGAACGUCGUGAGACAGUUCGGUCCCUAUCUGCCGUGGGCGCUGGAGAACUGAGGGGGGCUGCUCCUAGUACGAGAGGACCGGAGUGGACGCAUCACUGGUGUUCGGGUUGUCAUGCCAAUGGCACUGCCCGGUAGCUAAAUGCGGAAGAGAUAAGUGCUGAAAGCAUCUAAGCACGAAACUUGCCCCGAGAUGAGUUCUCCCUGACUCCUUGAGAGUCCUGAAGGAACGUUGAAGACGACGACGUUGAUAGGCCGGGUGUGUAAGCGCAGCGAUGCGUUGAGCUAACCGGUACUAAUGAACCGUGAGGCUUAACCUU
rnacentral:rRNA from 1 species